UGGUGUCAUGGCUCUGUUUUCCCCUAGGUGGCACUGCUUAGCUUAAUGGGGUUGAUUAGCAUGGCAUGCAUGCACAUGCAUGGGAGAGGUAGCAAUGGCUUUACCUGGUUCCUUAGUCUGUGGCACAGGAACUUCAUGCUCUCACUGACCUGGGAUCAAGCACCCCUCCUUUGGCUCAGGCCUCCAUCCACUCCCCACCUAUACCCUCUCUGUGUCCAAGCUAUCUGCCUGCCAGGUGGUACCUCCCUCCAGAGUUUCAUCUCAGAUGGGAUUGUGUUUCAAAACCCCACGCUUCAGAGACCCCUGUGGCUUGGACCCACACCAACUCUGUGGGAGGGUCUCACUAAGCAAUGGCCAGGUGCCAGCUUGCCCCAGAAAAUGUCUGUGUGGUCACACAAUGGCAGAGGUUCAGAGAUUAUGACAAAUCACAACACACAGCUGGGGCCAGGUUUUACCACACUCUGAUGUCUUUGUCCCAAUACCAGCAAAUGUGGCUGCUCUCCAGAGUCUGCUGAGACCUUUGCCUAUGGGGAGGCCAUAAGGCGUCUACCAUAUACUCUUCAAGCAGGGGAACCACUUCUCCUUGUGUGGCACACAGACCCCUCAGACCCUGCUGCCUGCUCCUGGGGAUUCACCCUGCUUCCUCACCAGAGCACUGCCAGAUAUGGAAGAGGUUGAAUAACUUGCUUCAGGUCACACAGCUAGUAAAUGGCAGAGGCAAGAUGUGAGCCCAGGAAGUAUGCCCUGCUACCACUGCGCAGUGGAGGCAUGUGCUGAACCUAAUCAACAAUCUGUCCAUUGUAGCUCUGCAUCCUGCCCUCUUCAUUUUGGACCAAGACUGAAGGAGCAGCCCCUGAGACAUGCCCUCUUGUGACAGAGGAAAAGAGUGAUGGCCGAAACCACACAAUGGCUCUAGCAUUUUUUCCCCAGAGCACACUCUUUUGCCCAAAGCAAGUCACAUGGUCUAACUUGAUGGCAAUCAGGUGGGGAAGUUUAAUCCCCCAAAUAGA